rnacentral:lncRNA from 13 species
ACUCAGGCAAUCUGACUCACAAUCCAGGAUUCAACCCCCUAAAACUUGCUGUUUUCUUUGUCCUCUUUGCUGUGAACCAAGACACUUGUUCUGUAGCAGACUGCUUCUGCUGCAAAUCCAGUUGCUACUGCAUUAUGCAAUGAAGUCAGAAGCCUGAGCUUGUGACAUCAAUACAGGUUGCCAUGGCAACUCUUUCCAUAUGUAUUACAGGUUCAGUGUAGGCUCAAAAAAGGGGACUUCAGCAGAGUAACAAAAUGACUGGCAUUAUUUCAGCCUAAAUUACAACAGCCAAAUUCAUCCAGGAAAUUUGCUGUCUGAGCAGAGAGUAAAUGGAAAGGAGUAGGAAAAGGAACGCAGGGGCUGCCCUGGAUAAUCGGUGUGCGGUUGCCUGACAGCCCGCUGGAGCCAUCUCUUCUUGAGCCUGAUGAAUUUUCUCCAGUCAGCACUGUGAAACUGUCAAUGAGUAGACACAGAGCCUCAGAAUUGAAGCUUCCUGAGAAGAGAACAUCCUGAAGAUUGUUUGAACUGGAUUACUAUUUUUUUUAAUGCAUGAUGACUCAACCCUGUGUGUUCAUUGCAAACACAAACAGGGUUGAAUUUUAAGGGUGUGCCUGGUUAAACAUCUUGUGCACAGCCUCUGUAUUAAGACUAACACCUGGCUAGAAGCUGCAGUUUAUUUUGUGUGGAGUGUUUAGUUUUCACAUAGAAUAGAAUUGAGGGAAAAAAAGCAGUUAAAUAAGGUAAACGGGUAUUACAUCAGGCAUAUCCUUAUGUGUCAUACAUUUUUAACAUACAGGACAUUAUGGAGACAAUUAGCAAAACUUAAAUGGGGUGUGAAGAUUAGAGGGCAGUAAUGUAUCAUUGUUAAUAUCUUGAUUUUGACGGUUGUAUUGUCGUUAUUUUGGGCACAUACCAUAUACAAAGGUCUAUGGAGUACGGAAAAACAGUACCAGAAUGACUCCAAGUUGCUUACCAUGUAACAGAAAAG